UAUUUUAUUUAUAUGCCACAAGGUUUUUCAGUGCCGUGUUACUUCGAUUUAGGAUUGAUGCGUUGUGCUGUUCUCUAGACUAGUAUUUGCAUUAUGUUUGCGCUAUUUGGAAAAUCUAAAGCAUGCUUGUAGGCAGUGUUAUCACAUAUCGGCCAUGGCGUCGCCAUGGCGGAUUUCGGUAGCGGAAUUCCAGACCACCGCCACAACAAGGCGGUGGCGAAUCGGAUUUCGCAUGGCGGACCAUGGCGGCCGCUAUUGGCAUGGCGGAGCGGUAACGGAUAUCGGAGAUAUCCAAAAUAUCGGUAGGCAGCGGAGCUUGAAGGAGUAGAUGAAGAAGAAGGGCUGCUGCGGCGGCUGAUGAAGAAGAAGGGCUGCUGCGGCGGCUGAUGAAGAAGAAGGCUCGGAGUUGAUGAAGAAGGCGGCGGCUGAUGAAGAAGAAGGGUGCAAAACCCUAACCCUAAUUUCUAAAAUUAAAAGAUUUGGGCCUUUGGCCCAUUUCAGAUUUAAAAUAAUAAAAAAUUUAAAAUUUAAAUUAAAAAUACUAAAUAUUUAAAACUGACGUGUGGUGUGUGGUGGGGCUGCAACCCUAAUUUAAACACCUUAUUAGUGGGUUUUUCAAUCUUAAAAUUUUAAAAACUGAUGUGUGGCUUUUGGGCCUAUUUUGGCCCAAUUAAGAGACAUAUUACCCUAAGGCAAAUGCUCCCUGCACCCAACACAAUUUUGAAAAUUCCAAAAAUGCCCUUUAUUCU
rnacentral:lncRNA from 1 species